GGGGGCGAUAUGGUCUCGACCGGAGAGGAGGCAUUGAGGUUGCAUGUCGAGGGUGCCAGGUGGCCUCGAAAAAACCUGGCGAAAAACUAACUGCCAACGAGCAGUACGCUUUUGCCAGCUAAUUAAAGCUGACACGUCUCCUUAGCCUUGCCUGCAGGGUAAGGAAGACGACGGUAGCAGGCUGGUCCUGCCUUUUUCCUGAAGUGGGCAGGAUGAGAGAGAUUUGGGAUAGCUUCCUCAGGAUCCUGCCUGUUGGAGCCCGAGUGAAGCGAAUUCAAAGAAUAGGAUAAGCAUGUAGACGCUUCUUUAUUCUUCCCUUCCGGGACGCGGGUUCGAUUCCCGCCGCCUCCAUCA
rnacentral:tmRNA from 1 species